rnacentral:rRNA from 1 species
AACGAACGCUGGCGGCAUGCCUAACACAUGCAAGUCGAACGAGACCUUCGGGUCUAGUGGCGCACGGGUGCGUAACGCGUGGGAACCUGCCCUUAGGUUCGGAAUAACUCCCCGAAAGGGGUGCUAAUACCGGAUAAUGUCUUCGGACCAAAGAUUUAUCGCCUUUGGAUGGGCCCGCGUUGGAUUAGCUAGUUGGUAGGGUAAAAGCCUACCAAGGCGACGAUCCAUAGCUGGUCUGAGAGGAUGAUCAGCCACACUGGGACUGAGACACGGCCCAGACUGGGACGGGAGGGAGGAGUGGGGAAUAUGGGACAAGGGGGGAAAGGCUGAGGCAGCAAUGCGGGGUGAGUGAUGAAGGCCUGAGGGUGGGAAAGCUCGUUUAGCCGGGAGGAUAAUGACGGUACCGGGAGAAUAAGCGCCGGCUAACUCCGUG